UGAGGAAUAUUGCUCAAUGGCCGCAAGGCUGAAGCAGCAACGCCGCGUGAGGGAUGAAGGUUCUAUGAAUCGUAAACCUCUGUAGAAAGGGAGAAAUGUCCGCUUAUGGCGGAUUGAUAGUACCUUUAAAGUAAGCCCCGGCUAACUACGUGCCAGCAGCCGCGGUAAUACGUAGGGGGCAAGCGUUGUCCGGAAUCACUGGGUGUAAAGGGAGCUCAGGCGGAUUUGUAAGUCAGAGGUGAAACUCUGCAGCUUAACUGCAGAACUGCCUUUGAUACUGCAAUUCUAGAGUUCGGGAGAGGGUGAUGGAAUUCAUGGUGUAGCGGUGAAAUGCGUAGAUAUCAUGAAGAACACCAGUUGCGAAGGCGGUCACCUGGCCCGAUACUGACGCUCAAGCUCGAAAGCGUGGGGAGCAAACAGG
rnacentral:rRNA from 1 species